rnacentral:tRNA from 1 species
GCUCCCAUGGCGUAGUGGUCACUGCGCUCGCCUUGCACGCGGGAGACCCGGGUUCAAUUUCCGGCGGGGUCA